UGGGGGAUAUUGCGCAAUGGGGGGAACCCUGACGCAGCAACGCCGCGUGAAGGAAGAAGGUCUUCGGAUUGUAAACUUUUGUCUUAUGGGACGAAACAAAUGACGGUACCAUAGGAGGAAGCCACGGCUAACUACGUGCCAGCAGCCGCGGUAAUACGUAGGUGGCGAGCGUUGUCCGGAAUUACUGGGUGUAAAGGGCGUGUAGGCGGAAUUUUAAGUCAGAUGUGAAAUUACCGGGCUCAACUCGGGAGCUGCAUUUGAAACUGAGAUUCUUGAGUGAUGGAGAGGAAAGCGGAAUUCCUAGUGUAGCGGUGAAAUGCGUAGAUAUUAGGAGGAACACCAGUGGCGAAGGCGGCUUUCUGGACAUUAACUGACGCUGAUGCGCGAAAGCGUGGGGAGCAAACAGG
rnacentral:rRNA from 2 species